UAAGCACAAACUUAUAAUGGAGGAAGUGUUUGUUUUUUUUUCAAAUAUCACCCCAUUUGGAAUUUAUUCCCCCGCUUCCUUCUACAUCGUGUGCCAUAUUAAAUGGUGGCAUUUGAAAGUACAACUUGUCCC